rfam:Dipodomys ordii contig_61514, whole genome shotgun sequence.
CCAAAGGCUCUUUUGAGAGCCACUUACUUUGUCAGUACUAGAGCUG